GUCAAGAGCUGCAGAGGCAAUGGAGGAGGCAAUGAGGGUCGAAGAGAAAAAAAUGAACUAUAGAAAAAAAAGAGAAAGAAAAAAGAAUAAGAAUAUUUUGGUCAGUGUAGUGAAAAUUUGGAUCGAAUCAGCAAAAUUCAAAAUAGUGGCCCAUUUUUGUAAAAACGCAAAACUAAUCGAUUUUUAUGCAAAAAGGCCAUAAUUAAAAUCUAAUUUUUCUUUUUUUUACAAAUUUUCACAAAAUUUUUCCUCUAAACUUUCUUUAUUUUCUUAAAAAUAAAAUUCAAAAAAUGUCCCUUUGCAAUUCAUAGGUUUGUGAUGAACAUGAAAAGUGUUGAAGAAAAUAAGUAGUAAGAAGUACCAAUGAGGGGGGAAGAGCGAGAAAGGGGACAGAGAUAUUUGGAGGAAAAGGUGAGUUUUGAACUUUAGUACUG
rnacentral:lncRNA from 1 species